rnacentral:tRNA from 1 species
GCUGUUUUGGCAGAAUAGUGCGUUAAAUUUAGAAUUUAAAUAUAGAGUUAAUCUAAACAGUA